GCCCGCUCAGAAACUACAAAGGAAGUUGACGGGGCCCGGCACAAGCGGUGGAGUAUGUGGUUUAAUUCGAUGCAACGCGAAGAACCUUACCUGGUCUUGACAUCCCGGAGACCCUUAGGAAACUAGGGGGUGCUUCCAUCUGGAAGAAUCUGGAGACAGGUGCUGCAUGGCUGUCGUCAGCUCGUGUCGUGAGAUGUUGGGUUAAGUCCCGCAACGAGCGCAACCCUUGCCUUUAGUUGCCAGCAGUUCGGCUGGGCACUCUAAAGGGACUGCCGGUGUUAAACCGGAGGAAGGUGGGGAUGACGUCAAGUCCUCAUGGCCUUUAUGACCAGGGCUACACACGUACUACAAUGGCCGAUACAAAGGGCAGCGACACUGCGAGGUGAAGCCAAUCCCGUAAAAUCGGUCUCAGUCCGGAUUGGAGUCUGCAACUCGACUCCAUGAAGUUGGAAUCGCUAGUAAUCGUGGAUCAGCAUGCCACGGUGAAUACGUUCCCGGGCCUU
rnacentral:rRNA from 1 species